AUUGAACGCUGGCGGCAUGCCUUACACAUGCAAGUCGAACGGCAGCAUGAUCUAGCUUGCUAGAUUGAUGGCGAGUGGCGAACGGGUGAGUAAUACAUCGGAACGUGCCCUGUAGUGGGGGAUAACUAGUCGAAAGAUUAGCUAAUACCGCAUACGACCUGAGGGUGAAAGUGGGGGACCGCAAGGCCUCAUGCUAUAGGAGCGGCCGAUGUCUGAUUAGCUAGUUGGUGAGGUAAAGGCUCACCAAGGCGACGAUCAGUAGCUGGUCUGAGAGGACGAUCAGCCACACUGGGACUGAGACACGGCCCAGACCCCUACGGGAGGCAGCAGUGGGGAAUUUUGGACAAUGGGCGAAAGCCUGAUCUAGCAAUGCCGCGUGUGUGAAGAAGGCCUUCGGGUUGUAAAGCACUUUUGUCCGGAAAGAAAUGGCUCUGGUUAAUACCUGGGGUCGAUGACGGUACCGGAAGAAUAAGAACCGGCUAACUACGUG
rnacentral:rRNA from 1 species